rnacentral:snRNA from 1 species
GUGCUUGUUUUGCCAGUACACAUACUAAAAUUGGAAUGACGCAGAAAUUAACAUGGCCCCUUUACAAGAACAAUACACAAAUUUAUGAAGCAUUCCAUAUUUUA